CUACGCUGCGAUAAGCCGUGGGGAGCUGCGAAGAAGCUUUGAUCCGCGGAUUUCCGAAUGGGGAAACCCACCUUCGAUAGCCGGAACUCCAAGACCUUGUGUUUUGGGGUUCGACCAGAAAUGGAAGAAAUCAGACCGCGAGGUUUUGGAUUUCCGGUUAUCAAGAGAAGGUAUGAGACCUCCGAAUAAAAUAAGAGGUUUUAAGCAAACCCAGGGAACUGAAACAUCUAAGUACCUGGAGGAAAGGACAUCAAUCGAGACUCCGUUAGUAGUGGCGAGCGAACGCGGACCAGGCCAGUGAUACAUCAAAGACAAUCGGAACCUGUCAGGAAAGCAGGGCCUCAGAGGGUGAUAGCCCCGUACGAGUAAUGCGAUGAUGUAUCCACGAGUAAGGCGGGACACGUGUAAUCCUGUCUGAACACGGGGGGACCACCCUCCAAGCCUAAGUACUCCUCAGCGACCGAUAGC
rnacentral:rRNA from 3 species